AAUAGCUCACUAGUCGAGUCGGCCUGCGCGGAAGAUGUAACGGGGCUCAAACUGGAUACCGAAGCUGCGGCUGCAUACUAUGUAUGCGGGGUAGGGGAGCGUUGUGUAAGUCUGUGAAGGUGUGUUGAGAAGCAUGCUGGAGAUAUCACAAGUGCGAAUGCUGACGUGAGUAACGAUAAUGGGAGUGAAAAACUCCCACGCCGAAAGACCAAGGUUUCCUGCGCAACGCUAAUCGGCGCAGGGUGAGUCGGCCCCUAAGGCGAGGCAGAAAUGCGUAGCUGAUGGGAAACAGGUUAAUAUUCCUGUACUUCUUAUAACUGCGAUGGAGAGACGGAGAAGGCUAUGCCUACCGGGCGUUGGUUGUCCCGGGGAAAGGCUGUAGGCUGAGGUGUUAGGCAAAUCCGGCACCUUAAGGCUGAGAGUCGAGACCACUGGUCCUUUGUGACCGGGAAGUGGUUGAUGCCAUGCUUCCAGGAAAAUCUUCUAAGCUUCAGGUUAUAAGGAACCGUACCCCAAACCGACACAGGUGGUUGGGAUGAGUAUUCUAAGGCGCUUGAGAGAACUCGGGUGAAGGAACUAGGCAAAGUGGUACCGUAACUUCGGGAGAAGGUACGCCGCUGACGGUGAUGAGACUUGCUCUCUGAGCUAUCGGCGGUCGCAGUGAAAAGGCCCCUGCAACUGUUUAUUAAAAACACAGCACUCUGCAAACGCGUAAGCGGACGUAUAGGGUGUGACGCCUGCCCGGUGCCGGAAGGUUAAUUGAUGGGGUUAGCUUCGGCGAAGCUCUUGAUCGAAGCCCCGGUAAACGGCGGCCGUAACUAUAACGGUCCUAAGGUAGCGAAAUUCCUUGUCGGGUAAGUUCCGACCUGCACGAAUGGCGUAAUGAUGGGGGCGCUGUCUCCACCCGAGACUCAGUGAAAUCGAAAUCGCAGUGAAGAUGCUGUGUACCCGCGGCUAGACGGAAAGACCCCGUGAACCUUUACUAUAGCUUCACAGUGGACUUUGAACCUGUUUGUGUAGGAUAGCUGGGAGACUUUGAAGCAGUGACGCUAGUCAUUGUGGAGUCGUCCUUGAAAUACCAGCCUGGCAUGUUUGAGGUUCUAACCUGGGUCCCUUAUCGGGAUCGGGGACAUUGUGUGGUGGGUAGUUUGACUGGGGCGGUCUCCUCCCAAAGAGUAACGGAGGAGCACAAAGGUACCCUCAGCACGGUCGGACAUCGUGCAACGAGCGUAAAGGUAGAAGGGUGCUUGACUGCGAGACUUACAAGUCGAGCAGGUGCGAAAGCAGGUCUUAGUGAUCCGGUGGUUCUGUAUGGAAGGGCCAUCGCUCAACGGAUAAAAGGUACUCCGGGGAUAACAGGCUGAUACCGCCCAAGAGUUCAUAUCGACGGCGGUGUUUGGCACCUCGAUGUCGGCUCAUCACAUCCUGGGGCUGAAGUCGGUCCCAAGGGUAUGGCUGUUCGCCAUUUAAAGUGGUACGCGAGCUGGGUUUAGAACGUCGUGAGACAGUUCGGUCCCUAUCUGCCGUGGGCGUUGGAGAUUUGAGAGGAGCUGCUCCUAGUACGAGAGGACCGGAGUGGACGAACCUCUGGUGUUCCGGUUGUCACGCCAGUGGCAUUGCCGGGUAGCUACGUUCGGACGGGAUAACCGCUGAAAGCAUCUAAGCGGGAAGCCUCCCUCAAGAUGAGAUCUCCCUGGGGGCUUGACCCCCCUGAAGGGCCGUUGAAGACCACAACGUUGAUAGGCUGGGUGUGGAAGCGUUGUAAGGCGUGAAGCUAACCAGUACUAAUUGCCCGUGAGGCUUGACUAU
rnacentral:rRNA from 1 species